UUUUUUUUUUUUUUUUUGCGGGAGCCAGGUGUUGCUAAGUGUUUCCCGAGUUCUGUCGAUGUCGCAUUCAGCAGCGAGGGUCUCCGUGGGUGGUUCUGGGGCAGGUGGUUGUUAAUUUUUCAGUGAAGUACUUAAGGUCUGUAGAGAUUUCUGAAAAUAAGAAAAUUACUGUUUACAGAAAGAUUCAACUUUAUUUUCAUGGGGGAUAUAAAACGUGUGUUUCCUAAUACACCUUACUGAACUGUAUAGCAAUGGAUAAGCUUUUCAAACUUAAAAAAAAAAAUAGCCAGAAUCAUACCUUUUGAAAAUAUGUGCGUGUAUAUAUAUAUUUAAAACAUAAUAUGACUAUGUAUAUUUUCUUGGUAUUGAUAAAGAACCUUUUCUAAAAUACUGUCUUUCUCUAGAGCUUUAAUUUGCCAUUGAGAGUUAAGACAGCUGUGUGGGUGCUCUUGCACUUACAUGGCUUUGAUUUUCAAAUCAAAUCCUGGAGGGAAAUGAUUUUUGUUGUAAAUCUUAAAGCAGAUUGAAAUGAAUUGCUGACUCAGUCAUAGGAAAAUAGUUUUCUAAACCUGUAUGCUCCAUAUUUCUUGUGCCAGUGCAAACUUGGGGCAUUGAUAGUUAUUUAUUGAAACUUGAACACUUUUUGGACGUUGCCUAGACCUUAUUUUUCUAGAUAACACGUUAGUCGAGAAAAUGGUUACUUUGGCAAAAAGAGCUUUACUUUUUUUUCCUUCACUGUGUACAUUCCAGUAGUGCGUGCUCUUUCCAUAGUAUAGUAACAAUUCAGUGCUAUACAGAAAAGGGCUCAGAUUUGGGGUGGGUUAGCUGUAAAGGUGAUAAUUCCAUUGUAUUCUGUUUGAAUAAAUCACAGAAAUAUUAUGGAGAACUAGAUUUAUUUUUCAGUAGAAAUCUGUGUAUCUUGCUUCUUGGUCUACUUUGUUCUAAAGAAACUUUCUGCAAUACUCUAGAGACAGUCAAUGCUAGAAUGUGAAGUGUUUUUCUGGUUGGGAAGAUUCGGUGUGAUUUAUUUCUUUGUCGAGAAUUUACUAGUAGAAGAGUAUAGCAAAGGAACUAUUUCUUCUGAUUAGACAUAAUCCUCAAUAAGUUUUUGAAAGCUUUAGGUCCCUUGCUCGGUGCCACUGCCUUCCAUGCUUUGCUGCAGCUGUGUUUUUUGGGCACAGCCACGAGCCCUGUGGCGGUGGUGCGGUGGGAAGGGUCUGUCGGAGUGUGGUGGUCACCUCACCAGAACCCCUCCGUGCGCUGGGGGAAGGCAGGGCUUCUCCUGAGCAGAUCCAGCUCCAGUGUGGGCCCCUCUUCCCUCGCUGAAACUGUGCUAAAAUUUCUCUGCUUGAACUCAGAGGCAAAUCUUUCAUGGGGAUACGUGUCUGUGCCAGCUGGUGAAAAGGGGUAAUCUGAGGAGCCAAGAGGGCAUAGACAUCUCUGUGUAUACAGCAAUUGUUAAAGCCACUCAGGAGCUGGUAAACAUCCCUUACCUCUUCUGAAGGCUACAGCUGAUGAUUUGAAAUCCAGUAAGAAUGGGAUAGACUCACAGUUUUUCAUGCUUUUAUUGGGGAUAUGUGAGUGCUAUCUGUUCAGAAAGUUGAGCUGCAGCAAUCGAGUGUAGGAGCUUUUCCUUUUAGUGCAGUCAUUCCUGGCACAUGUAUGAAGUUAUAUGAGAAUGGGUAGUUACUGUUACUGUAGCUGAGAUGGCUCUGAGGAUAUUUCUUUUCUUAAUGCAUAUGCAAAUUAGGUAGAAGCCAUAUUAAUCAUUGUAUAACUGUUUGAUCAUGUCACCAGAGCCUUUUUUGGUGGUUGAAAUGAUUGCCUGUAACAGUACAUUCUGCUACUAGAAUUACAAAUGAGCAGAUAAAAAAAAUAUUUUGAUCUUAACACAGGUUUAAAGACUUCUUAGGGGCAUUCUGAACCUUACUACAUACAGUCUGUAGCACUGCCUGUUAUAUAAUAACUGGGUGAAAAAUACAGUGUUUUUCUUUGAUAGUCAUCAUCCAUGUGCAAAAAUGCUGCAAGUCUGGAGAAACUGAUAAAAAACUGCUUUCCCCCACACUUAACACUUUUCCCUAGUGAAAGAGGUAAAGCUGUCUGGUAGAUGUGAGAUACUUUACUGCAUAUGUAAUGAGGUGGGGUUUUUUUAAGGAAUCCUGGAAAAAAAUCUUAAAAAAUUGCAUGGGUGAGCACCUCUACUUUGGUCCUUGUCUUUGUAAAUGAGGGUAAAAAUCUGGUGGUAGAACAUAGGACAAUGGUAAAUGCAUCUGUGCAAUACUUCUUAACUUACUUCAUAAUUUUUGCUCAUAAAAAGUUAGCAAUAUCCAAGCAACAUGGGGGAUCCAUGAGGCACAGGAAAUCGCUGCAGUUCCCCUUCCCAGACACGGCCAAGGCUCUAGUGGGCUAUAGCCUAGCAGGGUUGUAAUGACCUCCCCCUUUCCAGUAUGGUGAUAUUAAAGCUGAAAACCACCCCACAUUACCUCACUUGAGUUUGAACUUUCUGCAAGAGCAGUCUCACACCCAGCACCUCAAAGACCUCAUGUGGUAACUUCUUUGACAGCCUGCUUUCUGUUCUAGCUGACAUCUGUUCAGUGGUAGAAGUGGUGACAGGCC
rnacentral:lncRNA from 1 species